rnacentral:tRNA from 1 species
GCCUGGGUGGCUCAGUCGGUUAAGCGUCUGACUUUGGCUCAGGUCAUGAUCUCGCAGUUUGUGAGUUCGAGCCCCAUGUCGGGCU